UACGUAGGGUGCGAGCGUUAAUCGGAAUUACUGGGCGUAAAGCGUGCGCAGGCGGUUCGUUGUGUCGGCGGUGAAAGCCCCGGGCUCAACCUGGAACUGCCUUUGAUACUGUCGAUCUGGAGUAUGGAAGAGGUGAGUGGAAUUCCGGGUGUAGCGGUGGAAUGCGUAGAGAUCCGGAAGAACACCGGUGGCGAAGGCGGCCUGCUGGGCAGUUGCUGACACUGAGGCGCGACAGCGUGGGGAGCAAACAGG
rnacentral:rRNA from 1 species